rnacentral:rRNA from 1 species
GACGAACGCUGGCGGCGUGCUUAACACAUGCAAGUCGAACGAGCUCCAACCAGUCGCAAGACUGGGGAAGAGCUAGUGGCGAACGGGUGAGUAACACGUGAGCAACCUGCCUCGAAGACUGGGAUAACAGCGGGAAACCGCUGCUAAUACCGGAUAUCCCCAUCGGGCCGCAUGACCUGAUGAGGAAAUGAAUUUCGCUUCGAGAGGGGCUCGCGGGCUAUCAGGUUGUUGGUGAGGUAACGGCCCACCAAGCCUACGACGGCUAGCUGGUCUGAGAGGACGACCAGCAACACUGGGACUGAGACACGGCCCAGACUCCUACGGGAGGCAGCAGUGGGGAAUCUUGCGCAAUGGGCGAAAGCCUGACGCAGCAACGCCGCGUGCGGGAUGACGGCCUUCGGGUUGUAAACCGCUUUCAGCAGGGACGAAAUUGACGGUACCUGCAGAAGAAGCCCCGGCCAACUACGUGCCAGCCGCCGCAGUAACAC